GGCGAACGGGUGAGUAACACGUGGGCAACCUGCCCCCGGCUCUGGGAUAACUCCAAGAAAUUGGGGCUAAUACCGGAUAUGACUGCUGACCGCAUGGUCUGGUGGUGGAAAGAUUUAUCGGCUGGGGAUGGGCCCGCGGCCUAUCAGCUUGUUGGUGGGGUAGUGGCCUACCAAGGCGACGACGGGUAGCCGGCCUGAGAGGGUGACCGGCCACACUGGGACUGAGACACGGCCCAGACUCCUACGGGAGGCAGCAGUGGGGAAUAUUGCGCAAUGGCGGAAGCCUGACGCAGCGACGCCGCGUGGGGGAUGACGGCCUUCGGGUUGUAAACCUCUUUCAGCAGGGACGAAGCGGAAGUGACGGUACCUGCAGAAGAAGCACCGCCAACUACGUGCCA
rnacentral:rRNA from 1 species